AGGGGUGUGGCUCAGUGGUAGAGGUCUUGCCUGGCACGCACCAGGCCCUGGGUUCCAACCCCAGUACCACAA
rnacentral:tRNA from 1 species